rnacentral:misc_RNA from 1 species
UCAAACUUGGUCAUUUAGAGGAAGUAAAAGUCGUAACAAGGUUUCCGUAGGUGAACCUGCGGAAGGAUCAUUAAUGAGUUGUAAUGGGGUUUGAUGCUGGCACGCAAGUCUUUGAAUGCAUGUGCUCGCCCCAACAAUCCAUCUUUCAAACACCCGUGCACAUUUUUUUGAGGGAGUUUUGAGUGGAUUGCCUCUUUUGGCGAUCUUCUUCCAUUCCCUUGAAUUUCAUUAUACGCUGUUAACAAUGCUGAACGUGCUUUGUGCCGGUAAGGCCUUAACACAUAAUACAACUUUUAACAACGGAUCUCUUGGCUCUCGCAUCGAUGAAGAACGCAGC